UACGUAGGGGGCAAGCGUUUGUCCGGAAUCAUUGGGCGUAAAGAGCGUGUAGGCGGCCCGAUAAGUCCGCCGUGAAAGUCCAGGGCUCAACCCUGGAAUGCCGGUGGAAACUGUCGGGCUGGAGUCCGGAAGAGGCGAGUGGAAUUCCUCGGUGUAGCGGUGAAAUGCGCAGAUAUCAGGAGGAACACCAAUGGCGAAGGCAGCUCGCUGGGACGGUACUGACGCUGAGACGCGAAAGCGUGGGGAGCAAACAGG
rnacentral:rRNA from 1 species